rnacentral:rRNA from 1 species
CAAUAGCGUAUAUUAAAGUUGUUGCGGUAAAAAAGCUCGUAGUUGGAUUUCUACCGAAGAUAGCCGGUCGGGUCUUCGACCUUGUAUCUGGUUUUGUCUUUGGUAUCCUCAUAGGGAACGUUUCUGCGCUUUAUUGCGUGGUGCGGUAACUAUGACUUUUACUUUGAGGAAAUUAGAGUGUUCACGGCAGGCAAACGCCUUGAAUAUAUUAGCAUGGAAUAAUAACAUAGGAUCUUCGUCCUAUUUUGUUGGUUUCUAGGGCUAAGAUAAUGAUUAAUAGGGAUAAUUGGGGGCAUCUGUAUCAACGCGUCAGAGGUGGAAUUCUUGGAUUGCGUUGCGACAAACUACUGCGAAAGCAUUUGCCAAGGAUGUUUUCAUUGA